rnacentral:rRNA from 1 species
CAGUCGCCACGGUAAUACGAAGGGUGCAAGCGUUACUCGGAAUUACUGGGCGUAAAGCGUGCGUAGGUGGUGGUUUAAGUCCGUUGUGAAAGCCCUGGGCUCAACCUGGGAAUUGCAGUGGAUACUGGAUCACUAGAGUGUGUCAGAGGAUGGUGGAAUUCCCGGUGUAGCGGUGAAAUGCGUAGAGAUCGGGAGGAACAUCAGUGGCGAAGGCGGCCAUCUGGGACAACACUGACGCUGAGGCACGAAAGCGUGGGGAGCAAACAGGAUUAGAUACCCCUGUAGUCCCUGUCUCUUAUAA